UACGUAGGGUGCGAGCGUUUAAUCGGAAUUACUGGGCGUAAAGCGUGCGCAGGCGGUUGUGCAAGACAGAUGUGAAAUCCCCGGGCUUAACCUGGGAAUUGCAUUUGUGACUGCACGGCUAGAGUGUGUCAGAGGGGGGUAGAAUUCCACGUGUAGCAGUGAAAUGCGUAGAUAUGUGGAGGAAUACCGAUGGCGAAGGCAGCCCCCCUGGGAUAACACUGACGCUCAUGCACGAAAGCGUGGGGAGCAAACAGG
rnacentral:rRNA from 1 species